AGAAAUGGGGAAUAACUAUUGGAAACGAUAGCUAAUACCGCAUAAUCCCUUCGGGGCAAAGGCUUCGGCCGUUUUUAGAUGAGCCCGCGUUAGAUUAGGUUGUUGGUGAGGUAAUGGCUCACCAAACCUACAAUCUAUAGCUGGUCUGAGAGGAUGAUCAGCCACACUGGGACUGAGACACGGCCCAGACUCCUACGGGAGGCAGCAGUGGGGAAUAUUGGACAAUGGGGGAAACCCUGAUCCAGCAAUGCCGCGUGAGUGAUGAAGGCCUUAGGGUUGUAAAGCUCUUUCAGAAGUGAAGAUGAUGACGGUAACUUCAGAAGAAGC
rnacentral:rRNA from 1 species